UAAAGGUUGCAAUAGCACUGUCAAUGGCAGACUUGGUUACUCCAAACAAAUUUGGCUUUGCAUGUAGAAAUGUUGUGUAAUGCACCUUUAACAGAAAAUCACCUUCUAGUGUAAAUAAAUAAAUAAUAAAUAAAUUAUGCUGUGUAUAUGUAUGCUUCCUGAAGUCAAAUGACCAUAUCGCCCUCUAGUGGCCUCAUGGGUGGAAUAGUAUUUAAGAUUUUUUAAAUAAUAAUUCAUUCCUAAUUUUUUUUAUUUUAAUAAGCUGAAAAUCCGGUGUUUAUUUGUCAAAUGGUUAUGUUAUAUUUCAGUCUUCUGUGAUGUAUAUAAAGUUUCAUAUUGGGAUGCAAACUCAAAAUGUAAUACAUUUCAACAGGUGUCUUCUUUUUUUAAGCCCAUAACCAUGUGUGUGAGAUGUUUACUUUUGUUUCAAAGUAGAUUUGUUUAAGACUACCAAGAAGGUUAAUGAAGUGAGAAGAAGGCAUUGGUCUGAAGCCAAAAAAGAAAGGAAAUUCAUGGCUACUCCACCCAUGCUCUACCAAGAACAAUGUCCAAUGUUGGUUUCUCAAGACAUACCAGCCAGGAAAGUGGAACAUUUCCGACGCUAAGCUGAAGCCACAGGAACCUCAACCUAGUGAUGCCGUGAUCAGACACUCCUGCACACCAAAGACAAUUGGCUAUCUGGCCAGGGUUGGCCUCUUCUCAGGGGAGGUGGAGCCCUAUGGGACGACCCGAGACAAAGUUUGUCUGGAGGUUAUGGACCGCCUCAAGGCACAGCCUGAUGGGAAAUACGUGGUGGUCACGUGGGGACACCUUUAUUUGUUCACACCUGUCCGUGUUCAGAUAUAGCCCAGGGAACUCGUCCAUCCUGGCUGAUCAGAUCGCCUUGAACCUGGUGUGCCCAGAGCGGUGAGUGAAAGAGGAAUGGCUUUGUUGUUUCUGGUUAGAAAGUCAAGAAAAAUGAUUUUAGUCCAGGGUUUUGUUUAUGUUCAAUACAUCCAACUGGAUGAAUGCUUAUAAAUGUUACUUAUGCUUAUAAAUAUCUAAUUAUUCUGUUGUUUGUGUCUCACCUCUUCCCCCUACACCCCCUUACCAAUUUUAUCACAUCAGCACACACACUCAAUACCAUGCUUUUCACACAUUCACACACACAUCAAUAAACAUCACAUACACACACACACACACAUACGCAUACACUCUUCCCCCAGUCACCGAGGCGGAAGGAGGGCUCCUAUCCCUCAUUCCACCUUCAUUAACUAUCUCUCCUUCCACCUUCAUUAUCUAUCCCUCAUUCCACCUUCAUUAACUAUCCCUCCUUCUACCUUCAUGAACUAUUCCUCCUUCCACUCUCAUUAACUAUCCCUCCUUCCACCUUCAUUAACUAUGGCUCCUUCCACCUUCAUUAACUAUCCCUCCUUCCACCUUCAUUAACUAUCCCUCCUUCCACCUUCAUUAACUAUCCCUCCUUCCACCUUCAUUAACUAUGGCUCCUUCCACUCUCAUUAACUAUCCCUCCUUCCACCUUCAUUAACUAUCCCUCCUUCCACCUUCAUUAACUAUGGCUCCUUCCACUCUCAUUAACUAUCCUGCCGUCCACCUUCAGUAACUCUCUUCUGACAAUCUAAGAUGAUCAAGCA
ensembl:lncRNA